AGCAGCCGCGGUAAUUCCAGCUCCAAUAGCGUAUAUUAAAGUUGUUGCAGUUAAAAAGCUCGUAGUUGAAUUUCGGAAUCAAUGGAUCGGUCAUGCCACUCGGUGUGUACUGGUUUGAUUGGUUCUCACCUUCUAAGGAACCGUGAUGUCAUUAAUUUGGUGUCGCGGGGAAUUAGGACUGUUACUUUGAAAAAAUUAGAGUGUUUAAAGCAAGCUCACGCUUGAAUACAUUAGCAUGGAAUAAUGAAAUAGGACAUUGUAUUCUAUUUUGUUGGUUUCUAGGAUCGAUGUAAUGAUUAAUAGGGAUAGUUGGGGGGCAUUAGUAUUCAAUUGUCAGAGGUGAAAUUCUUGGAUUUAUUGAAGACUAACUACUGCGAAAGCAUUUGCCAAGGAUGUUUUCAUUAAUCAAGAACGAAAGUUAGGGGAUCGAAGACGAUCAGAUACCGUCGUAGUCUUAACCAUAAACUAUGCCGACUAGGGAUCGGAUGAUGUUAAUUUUUUUAACGACUCAUUCGGCGCC
rnacentral:misc_RNA from 1 species